GAUGAACGCUAGCGACAGGCCUAACACAUGCAAGUCGAGGGGCAGCGAGGAUGUAGCAAUACAUUUGUCGGCGACCGGCGCACGGGUGAGUAACGCGUAUGCAACCUACCCGACACAGGGGGAUAACCCGGAGAAAUCCGGACUAAUACCGCAUAAAACAGGGGUCCCGCAUGGGGAAUAUUUGUUAAAGAAUUAUCGGUGUCGGAUGGGCAUGCGUUCCAUUAGCUAGUUGGUGAGGUAACGGCUCACCAAGGCCACGAUGGAUAGGGGUUCUGAGAGGAAGGUCCCCCANACUGGAACUGAGACACGGUCCAGACUCCUACGGGAGGCAGCAGUGAGGAAUAUUGGUCAAUGGGCGAGAGCCUGAACCAGCCAAGUAGCGUGAAGGAAGACU
rnacentral:rRNA from 1 species